GAGAGAGACAUGCGCGCAUAUCAAUAAGCGGAGGAAAAGAAACUAACAAGGAUUCCCUUAGUAACGGCGAGUGAAGCGGGAAGAGCUCAAAUUUGAAAUCUUCAAGGUUCUACCUUGACGAAUUGUAGUUUAUAGAAGUGUUUUCUGUUAGUGGAGUGGCAAAAGUUCUUUGGAAUAGGACAUCAUAGAGGGUGAGAAUCCCGUAUUUGGUCAUUCCUCCUAGCGUUGUGAUACACUUUCAACGAGUCGGAUUGUUUGGGAAUGCAGUCCAAAAUGGGUGGUAAAUUUCAUCUAAAGCUAAAUAUUGGCGAGAGACCGAUAGCGAACAAGUACCGUGAGGGAAAGAUGAAAAGAACUUUGAAAAGAGAGUUAAACAGUACGUGAAAUUGUCAAAAGGGAAGCGUUUGACACCAGUGUUGUUUUUCCGAAAAUCAAUUACGAAUGUUUUGUUUUUGAGGAGUUAUGACUUCAUCAGCUUGCUUCUUUCUUUACGAAACUUUCUUAAUGCACUUUUCGGUUAACAAGUCAACAUCAAUUUCUUUUGUUGUAAAAGGGUAUGAGGAAGGUGGCUUUCUUUUCGGAGAAAGUGUUUAUAGCCUUGUGCCUCUGCAAUCGGAGAGAUUGAGGUCUGCAGCGUAGAUCCUUCGGGGUUAGAUACAUUUGUGCUAAGUUAUAGCCUUUCAUAGACAACUUGUUGACUAUGAUUAGUCUUGUAGCUUACUCGCUUACUGCUAUUUUACCUACGCUUAGGAUGUUGAUAGUCACAGCGUGUAC
rnacentral:rRNA from 1 species